rnacentral:rRNA from 1 species
AUGCGUCGCGAUAGAAAGCUCCGGCGCCUAAGGAUGGGUCUGCGGCCUAUCAGGGUAGUAGUGGGUGUAAUGUACCUACUAGCCUACGACGGGUACGGGUUGUGAGAGCAAGAGCCCGGAGAUGGAUUCUGAGACACGAAUCCAGGCCCUACGGGGUGCAGCAGGCGCGAAAACUUUACAAUGCUGGCAACAGCGAUAAGGGGACCUCGAGUGCCAGGAUACAAUCCUGGCUGUCGUAAUGCCUAAAAAGCAUUGCAUAGCAAGGGCCGGGCAAGACCGGUGCCAGCCGCCGCGGUAACACCGGCGGCUCGAGUGGUAACCGCUAUUAUUGGGUCUAAAGGGUCUGUAGCCGGCUGACUAAGUCUCUUGGGAAAUCUGGCAGCUUAACUGUCAGGCUUUCAGGAGAUACUGAUCGGCUCGAGACCGGGAGAGGUGAGAGGUACCUCAGGGGUAGGGGUGAAAUCUUGUAAUCCUUGAGGGACCACCAGUGGCGAAGGCGUCUCACCAGAACGGAUCUGACGGCAAGGGACGAAAGCUAGGGGCACGAACCGGAUUAGAUACCCGGGUAGUCCUAGCCGUAAACGAUACUCGCUAGGUGUCGGCCACGGUGCGACCGUGGUCGGUGCCGUAGGGAAGCCGUGA